CCUACGGGUGGCAGCAGUAGGGAAUUUUGCGCAAUGGGCGAAAGCCUGACGCAGCAACGCCGCGUGAUCGAGACGCCCUUCGGGGUGUAAAGAUCUGUCAGUGGGGACGAAACUUGACGGUACCCACAGAGGAAGCACCGGCUAACUCCGUGCCAGCAGCCGCGGUAAUACGGGGGGUGCAAGGGUUGUCCGGAAGCAUUGGGCGUAAAGAGUUCGUAGGCGGUACGUAAAGUCUGAGGUUAAAGGCAGAGGCUCAACUUCUGUACGGCACUGGAUACUUGCGAGCUAGAGUGCGGUAGAGGUAGAGGGAAUGCCUGGUGUAGCGGUGAAAUGCUUAGAUAUCAGGAGGAACAUCAGUGGCGUAGGCGCUUUACUGAGCCGUAAUUGACGCUGAGGAACGAAAGCCAGGGGAGCAAAUGGGAUUAGAUACCCCAGUAGUC
rnacentral:rRNA from 1 species